AAAAAAAUUCAGAAGAUUCAAAAUCUUCCAAUCCUGAUUCUGGAGUUCUCGUGCUCGUGCUCGUGCAUACCCAGAUCGCUGUCGCUCUGUCGGACGAGUUAUGCCGCCGCCGUCGCUCCGUCGGACGUGCAUUCAAAACUUUCUCUUUCCUGCUUGCUUCCAAAUCAAAUAACAUGGAUUCAGGCGGUGAAUCGGAGCGAAGUUGAGAUUCCUUAGCCCCGUCCCUUUAUAUUUAGGGCUUUUACAUUCUUGCAGUGAAAUGAUUAUUUGGGGUUAUCUCUUCUUAAAGGGAUUAGAAUUCUAUUGUUGAGCUCCCUGAAAUUGUAAAAAAAUUUCAUCAAUUUCCAAUGAUUGGAAGGCGAAGAUGGGGAUGCAGUUCGACCGGAAGGAGGAAAUUCAGAAGUUUAAAAUGAG
rnacentral:lncRNA from 1 species